rnacentral:rRNA from 1 species
AUACGUAGGGGGCGAGCGUUGUCCGGAAUGAUUGGGCGUAAAGGGCGCGUAGGCGGCGCGGUAAGUCUGGAGUGAAAGUCCUGCUUUCAAGGUGGGAAUUGCUUUGGAUACUGCCGCGCUUGAGUGCAGGAGAGGUUAUCGGAAUUCCCGGUGUAGCGGUGAAAUGCGUAGAGAUCGGGAGGAACACCAGUGGCGAAGGCGGUUAACUGGACUGCAACUGACGCUGAGGCGCGAAAGUGUGGGGAGCAAACAGGAUUAGAUACCCUGGUAGUCCACACUGUAAACGAUGAAUGCUAGGUGUAAGAGGUAUCGACCCCUUUUGUGCCGGAGUCAACACAAUAAGCAUUCCGCCUGGGGAGUACGGCCGCAAGGUUGAAACUCAAAGGAAUUGACGGGG